rnacentral:rRNA from 1 species
UACGUAGGGCGCGAGCGUUGUCCGGAAUUAUUGGGCGUAAAGAGCUCGUAGGCGGUGUGUCACGUCGGCCGUGAAAACCUGCAGCUUAACUGAGGGCGUGCGGUCGAUACGGGCAUCACUGGAGUUCGGCAGGGGAGACUGGAAUUCCUGGUGUAGCGGUGAAAUGCGCAGAUAUCAGGAGGAACACCAGUGGCGAAGGCGACUACCUGGCCUGUUCUUGACGCUGAGGCGCGAAAGCUAGGGGAGCAAACGGG